rnacentral:lncRNA from 1 species
GGGAUUAUUCGACUACAGCAUAAAGGAAUUUCAGCUGUAUAUCUGGGACCUGCGAAAUGACCAUGGACUGAGUGAGCCCAUGAGCUCCAGGGCCCCACUUGACAACAAGGGAGGGGACAGAUCUCCCAGCCUGUGGGAACAAAGGAGGGACGGCCUGUGCUGGGAGCAGCCCCCGGCCAACCCCAGAAAGACACACACACAAACAAGAUGGCCCACCGUGGGACAGAGCACCCCCCA